AGUGCUCUCUUAGUCUGUAAUGUAAGUGUAGUUUAUGAUUGGGGCGUUGUCCGUCGUGAAUCCCCCCUCCGUCUCCGACCCAAACCCUUGAUUUGAUUUCCUCUCUUUUCCGUCCCGAUCCGCAAAUCCCACAAGCGGUCUCCGCUUGUUUCGCGGUCUCGAACGAAAUCUUCCGUGGAAUUUCGUUCAGUCCAUCGAUUUUCUUGGUUUGCUUUCGGUUCUCCUUCAUGCCUUGUUCUCCCGCUUAAAUUCUCUUCAUUGAUGUUCCUAGUGCUUAUCUGAAUCUUGAGCCAAGAACAGCGUAUGAAGUAUCAUUCAGUUCUGUCCAAGAUUUUUAAGGCUUACAAGAUAAAGAUUCCUGGAAAUUCAGUGCUGAGGCAUCUAUGAAUUAAGCUUAAGCAUCGUAACCCCGCUUCAGCUACUUUUGUUUUUUGAAUCUUAUGUCUAUCUCAUCUUUUUCACUCUCCCUAGAGUCUCAACUUCACCCUCCAGAAAAUCUCGCAUGGGCUAAAUUGGGAGAGAUUAAGUGAUUAUAUUUGGUAUGGAUUUGAAAUAUUGCCUUUAUGGUUACAUAUGGGAUAGGCUAUUGGCUCCCCAGGCCCUAUUUGCAUGAGGUCUUCGUAAUGCUGUGUAGAUCCACAAUCAUGCCAGAAUUGUGACAGGUGGCUUUUGAUGAGUUUAGGUAACAGAUGGACAUAAGGUGUUUUAUGACAUAAUGGACACAAGAUCAUCCAUCUCUACUCCGUUUUUACAUUGGGGGAGAUGGAAACUCUGUGAGCCCACCACUGCAAUGCUUGAUGGAUGUCCAAUUGUUUCUUGUUCAAGUUGUCCAACAUUGAUUGUGCCCCCUCUCUAACUCACAGGAUCACAGCAAAAUCCUUCUUUGCUACAAGAAGUAUGCCACUCAUAAGGAUCAAUGGAAGCUCUACAAAUGGAAUUUUGAAGCUCGGAACGCACUUUAGGAGCUUCUUCUGAUGAACAGUGAGUUAAGUCAGGACAUGAAGCAAUUUAUUUUUUCCUUAAGAUAAAUUCCAUAAGAUAUCAAAGAAAGCUGCACUCAUGUAUGUGGACAAGUGCUCGAGCACUCAUUUUCCAGAAGAUGUUGUAGAUGUUUGUUAAUUUACAUUAUUAUUUUAUGAAAAUAUCAUAGAGUGUCUUGAUCACUAGACUCAGUAAUAUCAAGCAAAUGAUGUCUUGAGCACACUUUUUUUGAGCAGAAAUAGAUCUUUAGACGUAAUUCAUAAAAAAUACAUCUUUUGAGCAGAA